GGGGGCUAGCGUUGCUCGGAAUCACUGGGCGUAAAGGGUGCGUAGGCGGGGCUUUAAGUCAGGGGUGAAAUCCUGGAGCUCAACUCCAGAACUGCCUUUGAUACUGAGGAUCUUGAGUUCGGGAGAGGUGAGUGGAACUGCGAGUGUAGAGGUGAAAUUCGUAGAUAUUCGCAAGAACACCAGUGGCGAAGGCGGCUCACUGGCCCGAUACUGACGCUGAGGCACGAAGGCGUGGGGAUCAAACAGG
rnacentral:rRNA from 1 species